rnacentral:rRNA from 1 species
AUUGAACGCUGGCGGCAGGCUUAACACAUGCAAGUCGAACGAGUGGCGGACGGGUGAGUAAUGUCUGGGAAUCUACCUUAUGGAGGGGGAUAACUACUGGAAACUGUAGCUAAUACCGCAUACCAUCGGAUGUGCCCAAGUGGGAUUAGGUAGUUGGUGGGGUAAGGGCUCACCAAGCCGACGAUCCCUAGCUGGUCUGAGAGGAUGACCAGCCACACUGGAACUGAGACACGGCCCAGACGCCUACGGGAGGAAGCAGUGGGGAAUAUUGCACAAUGGGGGCAACCCUGAUGCAGCCAUGCCGCGUGAAUGAAGAAGGCCUUCGGGUUGUAAAGUACUUUCAGUGGGGAGGCGUUAACCGCAGAAGAAGCACCGGCUAACUCCGUGCCAGCAGCCGCGGUAAUAC